rnacentral:lncRNA from 1 species
CUUGGAUUUUCAAGAGUUGGUCUAAGUCAUAAAUUGGAUGGUGUAAGUUUUGGUUGGUAAGCCAGAAAAAAUUAAUUAGAUUGAUUGUGAGCCUAGAAAAAUAAUCGACUGUAAGGUUUUAGUUGAUGAGCCAUGAAAAAUCAACUAGAUUAGAUUGUGAAUCCAUAAAAAUAAUCAAACUAUAACCUUAUGGUAUUAUAGUUGGAAUUUUCAAGUGGGU